rnacentral:lncRNA from 1 species
CUGCAUGUGUGUGUGAGUGGUGAUGCAUGGGUACAUGUGUGCAGGAGCAGAGAGGAGGAGGGCUGCAUGUGUGAGUGGUGAUGCAUGGGUACAUGUGUGCAGGACAGAGAGGAGGAGGGCUGCAUGUGUGUGUGAGUGGUGAUGCAUGGGUACAUGUGUGCAGGACAGAGAGGAGGAGGG